CUAUGAAAUUAGUGUCAAUUAUUGAAAUUUAAAGAUCGUUACUUCUAUAUUUACUCGUACGUUACACAUAUUUUUAUCUCUUAGCUUUUAUGUAAAAAAAAUAUUUCAAACUAUAAUAAAACAGUGUCGAAAACAAUUUUAGACGAAUUUAAAACUAAUAAAAAUUUUUUAUUACCUUAAACGAAUCCGUAUAAAAGAAGCUUGAAAAUUCAUCAACAGCAUCAAACCACCAAUAGUCUCAAUAACAGUAACAAAACAGCAAAAAAAAAACAAAAUCAAAAAUGCAAUUCCUUUUCUUCUUCGUAUUCAUCUGCACCAUUGUAGUAAUUAUCGCUGGCAAUCCACACAAGAAUUUAACCAGAAGCCUUGUGAAUGAAGCCGAAGAUUUUGAAAGUGCCGCAGGCAAAACUACCAAGGCACCAGUACAUAAUUAAUUAACAGAGACAAACAUCGAUGCUGCAAUGAAUUCAAAAUUUACAAAUUCACUUUACAAACACCAAAUGUUAUUAAUUUUCUAAUGGAAAAUUGAAAAUUAUUUGAUCAAUUAUUAAAGAUAUGAUGAUAUAAAUAAA